rnacentral:rRNA from 1 species
UACGUAGGUGGCAAGCGUUGUCCGGAUUUACUGGGCGUAAAGAGCGCGCAGGCGGUCGUUCAAGUCGCGUGUGAGAGCCCCCGGCUCAACUGGGGAGGGUCACGCGAUACUGAUCGACUGGAAGGCAGGAGAGGGUAGUGGAAUUCCCGGUGUAGUGGUGAAAUGCGUAGAUAUCGGGAGGAACACCGGUGGCGAAGGCGGCGACCUGGGUAGAUACUGACGCUGAGGCGCGAAAGCGUGGGGAGCAAACAGG